CCUACGGGUGGCAGCAGUGGGGAAUAUUGCACAAUGGGGGAAACCCUGAUGCAGCGACGCCGCGUGAGUGAAGAAGUAUUUCGGUACGUAAAGCUCUAUCAGCAGGGAAGAAAAUGACGGUACCUGACUCAGAAGCCCCGGCUAACUACGUGCCAGCAGCCGCGGUACUACGUAGGGGGCAAGCGUUAUCCGGAUUGACUGGGUGUAAAGGGAGCGUAGACGGCAGCGCAAGUCUGGAGUGAAAUCGCAUGGCUUAACCAUGGAAUUGCCUUGGAAACUGUGCAGCUAGAGUGCAGGCGAGGUAAGCGGAAUUCGUAGUGUAGCGGUGAAAUGCGUAGAUAUUAGGAGGAACACCAGUGGCGAAGGCGGCUUACUGGACUGUAACUGACGUUGAGGCUCGAGAGCGUGGGGAGCAAACAGGAUUAGAUACCCUAGUAGUC
rnacentral:rRNA from 1 species